rnacentral:tRNA from 13 species
UCGUUAGCUCAGUUGGUAGAGCAGUUGACUUUUAAUCAAUUGGUCGCAGGUUCGAAUCCCGCACGAC